GUGUCAGCCGCCGCGGUAAAACGUAGGAGGCGAGCGUUAUCCGGAUUUACUGGGCGUAAAGCGUGUGCAGGCGGUUUGAUAAGUUGGAUGUGAAAGCUCCUGGCUUAACCGGGAGAGGUCGUUCAAAACUAUCAGACUAGAGAGUGGUAGAGGGAGAUGGAAUUCCGCGUGUAGUGGUGAAAUGCGUAGAUAUGCGGAGGAACACCAGUGGCGAAAGCGGUCUCCUGGCCCAUUUCUGACGCUCAGACACGAAAGCUAAGGUAGCAAACGGGAUUAGAGACCCCGGUAGUCUUAGCUGUAAACGAUGUGAACUUAGUGUCGGUGGGGUUAAAUCCAUCGGUACUGAAGCUAACGCGAUAAGUUCACCGCCUGGGGACUACGGCCGCAAGGUUAAAACUCAAAGAAAUUGACGG
rnacentral:rRNA from 1 species